AACGAACGCUGGCGGCAUGCCUAACACAUGCAAGUCGAACGAGACCUUCGGGUCUAGUGGCGCACGGGUGCGUAACGCGUGGGAACCUGCCUUUAGGUUCGGAAUAACUCAGAGAAAUUUGAGCUAAUACCGGAUGAUGUCUUCGGACCAAAGAUUUAUCGCCUUUAGAUGGGCCCGCGUAAGAUUAGCUAGUUGGGUGGGGUAAAGGCCUACCAAGGCGACGAUCUUUAGCUGGUCUGAGAGGAUGAUCAGCCACACUGGGACUGAGACACGGCCCAGACUCCUACGGGAGGCAGCAGUGGGGAAUAUUGGACAAUGGGCGAAAGCCUGAUCCAGCAAUUGCCGCGUGCAGGAUGAAGGCCUUCGGGUUGU
rnacentral:rRNA from 1 species